GGCUCCGCAGCUUGUUGGUUGAAGCGCCCUUCUAGCGAAUAGGGAGUCGUGGGUUCGAUCCCCACCGGAGCAC
rfam:Aedes aegypti strain Liverpool supercont1.269 genomic scaffold, whole genome shotgun sequence.